CCUACGGGAGGCAGCAGUGAGGAAUAUUGGUCAAUGGACGGAAGUCUGAACCAGCGAUGCCGCGUGCAGGAAGACGGCUCUCUGAGUUGUAAACUGUUUUUGUACGAGGGUAAACAUGAAUACGUGUAUUCAGCUGAAACUGCCGUACGAAUAAGGAUCGGCUAACUUCGUGCCAGCAGCGGAGGUAAUAUGGAGGAUCCAUGCGUUAUCCGGAUUUAUUGGGGUUAAAGGGUGCGUAGGCGGAUUGAUAAGUUAGAGGUGAAAGGUCCGCGCUUAACCCGGGAACUGCCUUGAAUACUGUUGAACUAGAGAGCAGGUGAGGUAGGCGGAAUGCAUGGUGUAGCGGUGAAAUGCGUAGAGAUCAGGAAGAACACCGAUUGCGAAGGCAGCUUAC
rnacentral:rRNA from 1 species